UCGCUACUACCGAUUGAAUGGCUUAGUGAGCUUUCUGGACUGUUGCAUUCUGUUGGAAACUUCGGUUUGCAUACGGGAAGGAAAUCAAACUUGAUCAUUUAGAGGAAGUAA
rnacentral:rRNA from 1 species